rnacentral:rRNA from 1 species
UACGUAGGGUGCAAGCAUUAAUCGGAAUUAUUGGGCGUAAAGGGCGCGUAGGCGGAUUGAUAAGUCAGAUGUGAAAUACCAAAGCUCAACUUUGGUGCUGCAUUUGAAACUGUCUUUCUAGAGGAUUGACGGAGAAAGGGGAAUUCCACGAGUAGCGGUGAAAUGCGUAGAUACGUGGAGGAACACCGGUGGCGAAAGCGCCUUUCUAGUUUAGACCUGACGCUGAGGCGCGAGAGCAAGGGGAGCAAACAGG